rnacentral:rRNA from 1 species
AAGGCUUUGCUGUCUCUUGAGAGCGGCGGACGGGUGAGUAAUGCCUAGGAAUCUGCCUGGUAGUGGGGGAUAACGUUCGGAAACGGACGCUAAUACCGCAUACGUCCUACGGGAGAAAGCAGGGGACCUUCGGGCCUUGCGCUAUCAGAUGAGCCUAGGUCGGAUUAGCUAGUUGGUGAGGUAAUGGCUCACCAAGGCGACGAUCCGUAACUGGUCUGAGAGGAUGAUCAGUCACACUGGAACUGAGACACGGUCCAGACUCCUACGGGAGGCAGCAGUGGGGAAUAUUGGACAAUGGGCGAAAGCCUGAUCCAGCCAUGCCGCGUGUGUGAAGAAGGUCUUCGGAUUGUAAAGCACUUUAAGUUGGGAGGAAGGGCAGUUACCUAAUACGUGAUUGUUUUGACGUUACCGACAGAAUAAGCACCGGCUAACUCUGUGCCAGCAGCCGCGGUAAUACAGAGGGUGCAAGCGUUAAUCGGAAUUACUGGGCGUAAAGCGCGCGUAGGUGGUUAGUUAAGUUGGAUGUGAAAUCCCCGGGCUCAACCUGGGAACUGCAUUCAAAACUGACUGACUAGAGUAUGGUAGAGGGUGGUGGAAUUUCCUGUGUAGCGGUGAAAUGCGUAGAUAUAGGAAGGAACACCAGUGGCGAAGGCGACCACCUGGACUGAUACUGACACUGAGGUGCGAAAGCGUGGGGAGCAAACAGGAUUAGAUACCCUGGUAGUCCACGCCGUAAACGAUGUCAACUAGCCGUUGGGAGCCUUGAGCUCUUAGUGGCGCAGCUAACGCAUUAAGUUGACCGCC